rnacentral:misc_RNA from 1 species
CAGUUUGCGUUGAGUGACGCUCUACUUUAUUAGUAAAACUAAACUUUUCCUGUCUUGAUGAAUUAUUUAACAAAGAUGUAUAGCGUGUGGCUCUUCGCGUCUAUGUGCGUAGCCGUGUACGCUUCGCCUUCCAAUUCCCGAGACCGGCAAGCGUCCGCACACAUGUCCGCGUUGUCUGAACUUGCUGCCCGACUUUUCAUCACAAUCGCACCUGACCCCUGCACCACGAACUCAAAAACUCAAGGAAUCUGCUACUGGAGCUCCGACUGUACGAAGCUCCAGGGCACCGCAGACGGCAGCUGCGCUCUGGGCUUAGGAGUUUGCUGCUCAUUUAUUAGGAGUUGUGGUGCCACAACAAAGAUUGAUGGAACGUUGUUCCGCAAUCCCAACUUCCCGUCGACCACCACCGCCGCCAGCUCCUGCACACUCCAAAUAACUCCUGCCAGCAGCAACAUCUGUCAGAUUCGCCUCGAUUUUACUGACUUCAAUUUGGCUCAGCCCAACGAGGAAGGAGAAUGUGUAACGGAUUCCCUGAAAGUUACUGGAGGAACAUCCACUGUUCCAGUGAUUUGUGGACAAAAUUCCGGGCAACAUCUUUACAUGGAUGUGACCCCUACGUUUGGAAGCGUCAAUAUAAAGAUCGACACAACAUCAGUGGGCAAGAAAUGGAACAUCGUUGUCACUCAAAUUAAAUGCGACUCUGUUAACAAAGCUCCCACGGGCUGCCUGCAGUAUUACACCAGCACGACUGGAACAAUUAAAAGCUUCAAUUAUGACACCAGCCUCGCCACAGCCGCCCCUACAGCCACCACCCAACUUAUAGACCAGCGUUAUAAAGCGUGCAUCAAGAGUCAGGCAGGCUACUGCAGCGUAGCUUACUCAAAGAGCUCUGGGAUUGCCAACGAUAACACCUUCUCCAUGACUGGAGACCCGACCUCCAUAGCUCCAGGAACCCUCCCUCCAGGACUAGCAGGUAGCGCGUCUUGCACCACAGAUUAUCUGAUAAUUCCUAGCGGCGUCAUAACUGACUGGAGUCCGGCCAUUUAUAGCCCGACCAUUACUUCAGCUGAUCGCUUCUGUGGCACGAAUUUUCCCCGCACAGUCAGAACUUCGGUGCAACCGUUCGCGCUCACCGUCGUCCACGACGAGCAAGAAACUUACCCCGCGGACGCCGCGCUCAACGAUGGCCCCAACGCCGGGUUUUCUCUUAACUACAGAAUGCAAGCUUGCUAAAUCAAUAAAAUUUCUGUUUGAUAUUUGAACCAAAACAGUCAACUAGAAAAUUGUUUGUUAAAAUGAAGGUUAGUUUGGACCGAAAUUGGACAGGAAAGCGACCCAACAUGUACAACGAUGAGUCGUAUGCAGUCAUAACAGUUUCUUUUCUGUCUAAAUAUUUCUAAGUUUCUGAUGCAACAAGCAUCAGUGAGAUGACCUGUGGCGUGUCCAAGACUUCAAUAUAUUUAUGGAAUGUGGACUUGAGUUUAAGCUAACCUUAAUACAGAAGAGAUUGCAUAUAACUUUGGCAAAUUUUAUGACCAAAUUUAAGAACUUAACAGAAACAUCUCUAUGUAUAUCAUGUAUUUUUUAUAACUUAUGACCGAUCUAUGGUGCCGUUCUUCUAAAAACGAACCGGGUAAUAGAACCUGAUGCAGAGAAAAGAUUUAUAAUUAGUACAUGGUUCUUUAAAUGCACAGGCUGAGGAGUGACGCUUCAAAUAAUGUAAAACGUCAUUUAUUUACACUAUAUUCAUUAACCACUUUUAUUAGAAGCUUCACUAGCAAAAAUGAAUUACAUUGUUGAUAGUCAAAAGCAGCAAUGAACUGGAGCAAGCAUCAUGUUCAUCAGGGGAGCAAGUACCAUGUUCAUCAGGGGAGCAAGCAUCAUGUUCAUCAGGGGAGCAAGUAUCAUGUUCAUCAGAGAAGCAAGUAUCAUGUUCAUCAGAGCAGCAAGUAUCAUGUUCAUCAGAGCAGCAAGUAUCAUGUUCAUCAGAGGAGCAAGUAUCAUGUUCAUCAGAGGAGCAAGCUUGUAUCCUUGUCAUCAAAAUUUUACGGUUUAUGUAAACAAGUUCAAAAUUUAA